rnacentral:lncRNA from 1 species
CUAUAUGAUUUAAAAAAAAAAAGCAAAAGCAUGCAUCUAUGAUUAAGCAUCUAUGAUUCAACCCAGUCAUUAUACAUCUCACAUUCUUUUUAUUUGUUCCCAGCCCCCUUGGAGUGAUUACGACAACCAAUGGGCGAUCAUGUUAAAAGUUGGAGAAGGUGGAUCACCAGUUAUCCCAGAAUGCCUCAGUGAAGAAGGCAAGGAUUUCUUGAUGCAUUGUUUCGUGCAUGACCCGCAUGAAAGAUGGACAGCGAGGCAGCUACGAAAUCAUACUUUUCUUAAGGUGUGAGGUAAGUUAUGGCUUUCAGGUUUCAAUGCAUGAAUGUUAUUGAUGGUGUCUGUCAGGUAGUUUUCACACCAGAUGAUGACGUUUGCCUCGUAUUUUUUAAAUAUCAUUAAGGUAGAUCUGCGAGAAGAGUGCUUAGACUACACACGUAAAAACGCACAAGUUGUAACAAACCUGCAGCAGACUUGUAGCAAUGCUGUUCUAACAACUUGUCAACAGGAUGUGUUCGCACUGCUUGUUCCCAGCCAUCCUCGUUCCCAGGGCUUCUCGGCUGAACGAGGAUGGUUCCCAGCUUGUUGACAACUUGCUACAAGAUUGUUGAACUCAACAGACUUGUUACAACAACUUGUUAUCGUCCUGCAAUUCAACAAUUUGUCAACAAGUUGCGAGUGACAACCUUGUAGCAACUUAAUCAAAUGACAGCAUUGUUACAACUUGUUCACAAGCUUGCUACAAGCCUGUUUGAACACAUCUUGUUGACAAAGUUGUGAGAUUUUUACGUGUGUACUUCGACUCUACCAAACACCGUAUAGGUUUUCUCCAGGUAUGCCCGUUUCCCUCUGUAAUUUAUGUAAUGUGUGUAAAAACAGUUUCCCACUGAAGCAAUAAGGAUGGCCCUUAGAUAAUACAUAGGGAGAACUGUUUAAAACUGACAGAGUUUUCCAGAGGUGCAAAAAAUAUUUUACUUUCUGGGACCGCAAGAGAACAUUGAAAAUUUUCUGUAAACUAAUCAAGUAAGUCGACACUUGGACACUGUAUCUGUGUGACACUAACAAGUCAAACUGGAUGUCUUGCUAUAUUUUACAGGGAAAAUAUUUCACUGAGAAUUUUAAAAUAUAACCUAAAACUAAGGUAGAUAACAUGCAUCAAGGGUUGAUCCUAAGGGUAAAUACAGAUGCCAAAAAAGCUAGGGCACUACUAGGGGACACUGUCAGGGAGAUCCAUGCUACCCCAGAAAAUUUUGAAAAUCAGGUGUCCCAGAUUAGUUAAAAAUGUAUUUGCCAUACAUUUAUACACUAUCGCACCAUUAAGAUCGAUGCACUUUCUCCUUUUAUCUAAAUUAUUACAAUUUUUCUUUCUUGGGGAAAUAUUUUCUGGGAACUCGAAAAAUUUUCUAGGACCAAUGGUCCCGAGUCCGAUACUUUUUCCAGCCCUGGAGUUUUCCAAUAUCAAGACAGUUUUGUUUAGGUAUCUCCUGUAGUAACACUGAACCGACAACGGAUGAUUCGUACUGGACCUUUAUUUAGAACAGUUUAGAACUGACCUCGCUUUUCCUUUUAGUGUUGUUGAUGGAACCAUAGGGCACAUGGGUGAUGCAAAGGGAUAAUAAGGAGCAGGGGAGUAUGCAGGAAGACACACAAUGCUGAACAACGGUCAGAUUUUAAUGUUAUUUAUCUGUAGGGUCCUCUACACUGAGGGUGUUGAUGAGAAAAAUGUCGAUGUAUAGGCAGUGAUAUACUACUGUGUUAGGUGUUGUUGUACAGAACUUGUGCAUGGUUAUGCAGAGAUGGUGAAUUUUUGAAAUGUGCGCAGCACUAAUAAAGGAAUACCGAAUGGUUUUCCGUGCAGGAUUGCGUGAUCCAUGCACGAGGGAUGUCGCGAGACUUUCGGAAAGCGUAAAAAUACUCGAGCCGCAGGUGAGUGUAUUUUUACGCUUUCCAAAAGUCGAGCAACAUCCCAAGUGCAUGGAUCACGCUAUCCUGCUUGAAAAACCAUUUGGUAAUUGUUUUAUAAAAUAACUACAGUGAAACAAUGACAUUUUGAGAAUCCCGCGAAGGCGUUUUAAUUCCUCGUGCAAGAUAGCCUGAUCCUGCGCGGCUAUUGACCAAUCAAAUUGCGUGUUUCACUGUAGUUAUUAUAGAAACUGUUUUCAUACUCAUGCAAACACAAUUAUUUCUUUCUGCUCAACUCUAAUUUAAGCACGCGGUGCACACGGGUGUAUAUAGCAUUUGUUCUUGAAUGUGAGUAAUGUUUAAGUGAUCUGAUGUUGUGCUUAGGCAUCCAGUUAGAUCAUACAGAGGUAGUACAAUGUGGAAAAUGUUCCCGAAUAUGGGUAAUUCUUAAUUCUGGGUUACCUUAAAGGGAGCUGAUAUUGUACAGAACUUACUGUUAAGUGAAGCAUGAUUAUAUCAUGCAGAAAUAGUAUUGGUGGUGAAUUUGGGUUACCCUUAAGUGAUCCAAUGAUGUAGAGAACUUACUCGGUUCUCUUAUAUUACGUGGUGUCCCCAAAAAAUUGCACACUGUUUGAUUUCAUGUAACGUAAAAACUAUAAAAACUAUCGCAAUAAAGAUGAUUGCAUUCAGAAAGGACUAACUAGAUUUGAUAUAUGAAACUUGAAUUUACAUGCAAUAUUUAGCGAGAUACAAAUUUGGAAUACGUUUUAACCUGAAUAUUUUUUACUUUGAUUAUUUUUUGAUUAGUUUGAACCUGAAUAUUUUUUACUUUGAUUAUUUUUUACCUGGUGAAAACCCAGUAAAAAAGGGCUAAUUAUAAGGUUGUUUUAUGCUAAUUUGUGGCAUUUUCAAAAACAGUAGUUGACCGUUCAAACAUCAGUAGCGCAGUCAAUAUUGCAUGUAAAUUCAAGUGUUAUAUAUCAAAAUCUAAGUUAGUCCUUUCUGAAUGCCAUGAUCUUUAUUUCAUUGCGAUAGUUUUUAUAUCUUUUACGCUACAUGAAAUCAAACAUGCAGUGUCCAGUUUUUUGGGGGGGACACCCGGUAGUUAACUAACAGAGGAUAAUAUUUGUUGGGGGGAAUUGUUAGAAAUUGUACAAGAAUACAUUUGAAUGAAUUAGUGUAAGAUAUUUUAUUAUUUAUAUGGCCUUUAAAUUAUAUGAAUGUAGAAAUUGUAUGUAGGUAGUAGUAAUUGUAUGGGAAUUGCACUUAGAAAUAAAUGAAAUGUUUGAGUAACUCGUUCCGUCGUAUGGUAGUCUGCAAUCAAUCUCGUACUCAAUCAACAUAUACCUGUCACGGUUUAGUAUACCUGUCACGUUUUAGUAUACCUGUCACGUUUUAGGGGGAGUUACUAUUUUUAGACUUUUGUAAUUU